rnacentral:misc_RNA from 1 species
GGAAAUAAUGGGGGAAGUUAACCUGGAUCUGACAUGUUUAUAUAUAACAUUUUUUUGUAGAUAUCUUAAUUAAUUUAUAUUUUAUGAAUUUUUAACCAUAGAUAAAAGGUGAAAAAAGUAUGGACAUACAUGUAGAGGUGGAAAUGAAAAAAAAAAAUCUUAUGUAUUUGGAAAAAAUAAUGAAUGAAAAGGAAAAAUAGAGACAACUGAUACAUGCCUUGCCCUGAACCUGAGGUGGAUCAUGGAUGAGUAAUGAUAUUAUAUAGUGGGUUGGGUAUGAGUUUGGCAAAACUGGCCCCAUAUCUGACCAGCAACCCUUCCAAAUUGAGCUCAGUGAUUCUUGUACUUGUGUUAAUGUCUUAUAUAAAUUAAUCAAUGAACUAUUUCUUAUUUAUGGUAUCAACCAGGUUAUGAUAAUGCCAUUGGUG